AAAUCCACAAUAAUCAUUGUUUUAUAUUAUUUUAGCUGAUUAAUACAACUGUGAUCUAGAAAAUAAGUUUCAGGAUUGAAGGCUCAACAAAUACGAAAUCCAGCAUAUUUACAAGUUGUAAUUCAGAAGUUGAACAGCCAUUAUUCAUCCUGAUGAAAGCCUUCAAAGAGAAGAAUACUUGACAGGGGAUGUGAGAAAAAGAUGCCAAAUAGUGGACAUGUGAAAAUGCCUGAAAAGGGCUAAAAAUAAACCAGUUGCCACUGUUGUAGCAGUACCAAAGGAUCAAACAAAGUUAUUUUGAAUUCACACACAAUGACUUUUGAAAAAUGAUGCGCAGUUCCACAAAAAAGGAAAGCCAUGGGUUUCUUGUGGUCUGAUCAGCAUGCUAAAUCUACUGGUGAUCCUUCUUUUCUUUGAAGGGAUUCCUGAUGAAGAUAUUCAUUUUCUCGUGUUGAAUCCUGAACCUGGUCAUCCUGUUGAAGUCAUUGUCGUGUGAUAAAUUUUUUUCGUGGAAUCCAUUACAAAUCUAACUGCUUUCGACUCUUUACGUUGCAGCACUUGGGAAAAUUACGUCAAUGGUUCUUGUGCUUCGAACAACCAUGCAUUCAUGGGCGAAAAUGUUAAUGUCAACGCUCGUGGAUCGUUUUAACUUAUAACAAAUGGACAAUCCCCGUACGCCCAAGCUUGACUCCUGCUGUGACCACUAAUGGUGCUACGACUAUUCGGUUUUACACACUACGUCUUCGAGAAUUCAACUAUAAUGUGGAAAAUAUUCAGUUCGCAUUGGUUUUCAUACAUCAACAAAAAU